rnacentral:rRNA from 1 species
UACGUAGGGUCCGAGCGUUGUCCGGAAUUACUGGGCGUAAAGCGCGCGCAGGCGGCCCGCGAGGUGUCACGUGAAAGCCCCGGGCUCAACCCGGGAGGGUCGUGGCAAACCGGCGGGCUUGAGGCCGGUAGAGGUGGGUGGAACUCCUGGUGGAGUGGUGAAAUGCGUAGAGAUCAGGAAGAACGCCCGUGGCGAAGGCGGCCCACUGGGCCGGUACUGACGCUGAGGCGCGAAAGCGUGGGGAGCAAACAGG